rnacentral:misc_RNA from 1 species
GUGAAUCAUCAAAUUUUUGAACGCAUAUUGCACUUUUUGGUAUUCGGGAGAGUGUGCCUGUUUGAGGGUAAUUAAAAAGAAUCUUUAGCCAAUUUUUUUUGAUGAAGGGAAAUGAGUUCACCACGUUUAUAGCGGUAGCUUGAAAUAUAUGGUCAAGGCUCGUUUUAGUCGAGACGAGUAAUAAUAUUAUUUCGCG